rnacentral:lncRNA from 1 species
ACAAAUUGACUUUGGAGCAAUUUUGUUUGAUCAUAUCUCUAAGUGGGUAGAGAAGGCUGAGAAGAAACCACUGACCAAAGUGUUUCAUAGAAGGCUGCUGAGUAUCAUACUGAAGAAAAAGCUAGGUGGAAAGAUCAAGGAUGAUGAGGGAGAAGCCCUGAAUGUGCACAAAGUAAUGUAUCCAUAGUUAUUUAAAAACUAGAAGAAGAACC